GUCACACUCUGUCAUGAGUCACAACCUUAUUGCUGUAGAAACAGCAAAGAGCAGGGCUCUGGGGAGGAAGAGAGUGCCUGGCCCAGUGUCCACUACUGCAAGAAAUGGGCAUAAGGUGGCAGCACUGGCAGUGUCUGCAGGUGUUGGGGAGAGAGACUUGGCCAAGGGCCAGCUGUACUUGAGCUGCUAAAUCCCAGGGAGAAGAUGGGGAAGAGGGAACUCUGUUAAAGACCUCCUUAUUAGGGUAGUUAGUAAUGGGAAGAGCAAGGCUCCUCCUAGGGGAGCAGUGGCACUCAGGAGUGGCACAGGGAGGAGUGGCUGAUGGGUCCCAUUGCCUGGCACCAACACCUCUGUUGAAGGAAUAACUACCACUUAUGAGGAAGGAUUAAGACGGAUUGAUGAACAACGUGGAUGAAGUCUGAGAACGUGAGAGAGACACAGCGAGAGAAGGAACACAAGCAGCGGGAGUGGGAGAGGGAGAAACAGGCUUUCCGUGGAGCAGGGAGCCUGAUGCGGGGCUCAAUCCCAGGACUCUGGGAUCAUGACCUGAGCCGAAGGCAGACACUUAAUGACUGAGCGACCCAGGCGCCCCUAAUGGGUACAACAGGCAAGUUCUCCUAAUGCCUGGCCCUCGGGGAAGCCUACAGAGAGCGGCAAUUUGGAAAACCCUGUUUUGGAACAGAGCUGCUCCUUAAUAGCUCCCCAUGGAAGAGGGAUUCCUGCUGCAAAUGACAUGACAUCACAGGCACACGGCUUGGGCUGGAGCAAGGACUCCUGCUUCUUCUUUCUUGAGGCUCUCUGACCUAGGAGGUCCAUUGCCUGCACCAGUAGGUGAGUACCCAGGUGCCUUGUUCCUCCAUGUUACGGUUGGGCUAUUCUCUUGAAGUUACAGAGAUACAGAGGCUGCCCAAUGUUUCUGUUUACUUUUCAUAUGCUUUUGACUUUUAGGCUAACUUCAUCUCCUUGGUUUUCCUGGUUUCUGGAAGAAAAUGUGGCAGACAUUAUCACUGGCAAGUUCCUGCCAUGCAGCAUUAGUAAAAUUUAUUUCUUCCCAUUUUUUACACUUUUAUAAAUUUAACCUCUUGCCAACACAUUUCUGUCACCAUGUACUCUUCAUUACCUAUAUGAAGGCUUAAGCAGUAUGGAGACAAGAAUUUGUUUUCUUCUCUAUUUGAUUUUUAAAUUAUAGAAGACUCUAAUGCUGUUAACUGGUAAAUGUUUAGAGUUUAAGGUAAACAUCACUCCAACUUUUAUAAUGUUUAGAGUUUAAGGUAAAUGUCACUCCAACCGAAACUGGUUUUGAAGAUGCCCUUUU